rnacentral:rRNA from 1 species
AGUCUCGUUGGUGACAGCGGAGGGAUCAUUACCGAGUUUACAACUCCCAAACCCCUGUGAACAUACCAAUUGUUGCCUCGGCGGAUCAGCCCGCUCCCGGUAAAACGGAACGGCCCGCCAGAGGACCCCUAAACUCUGUUUCUAUAUGUAACUUCUGAGUAAAACCAUAAAUAAAUCAAAACUUUCAACAACGGAUCUCUUGGUUCUGGCAUCGAUGAAGAACGCAGCAAAAUGCGAUAAGUAAUGUGAAUUGCAGAAUUCAGUGAAUCAUCGAAUCUUUGAACGCACAUUGCGCCCGCCAGUAUUCUGGCGGGCAUGCCUGUUCGAGCGUCAUUUCAACCCUCAAGCCCCCGGGUUUGGUGUUGGGGAUCGGCGAGCCUCACGGCAAGCCGGCCCCGAAAUACAGUGGCGGUCUCGCUGCAGCUUCCAUUGCGUAGUAGUAAAACCCUCGCAACUGGUACGCGGCGCGGCCAAGCCGUUAAACCCCCAACUUCUGAAUGUUGACCUCGGAUCAGGUAGGAAUACCCGCUGAACUUAAGCAUAUCAAUAAGCGGAGGA